AAAAGAACCAACCGGGCUGUCGGUUGACCAUGCAAAUUUUAAAAAAUAAAGAAAAAAGGAAACAUUAGUAAGUCCGAAGCAAUCGACAGGACUAACAAGAAAAACAAAUCUCCCAUACAGCUAUCCUGAGAACCACCAAGACGUUUGAAGGCAAGAGUGCCAUGACCAAGCAGAUCAUCAUCACCAACAACAAGGGUCGCCUGAGAAAGGAAGAGGAUUUUGCAGGAAGCAGACCAAGACAAAGUAGAAGACAAGCAGCACAGGGAGAUGAAAGUGGCCAAGAACGCACUACAGUCUAUCCACUAUGGACUUUUGAAUAUUAGAUCACUCUCUAAGGAAAAGGUGUUUCCUUUGAGAAAAUGUAUUGCGGAUAACCGUCUUGGCUUUAUGUUUUUAACUGAAACCUGGUUUAAAUCCUACACUCCCAUUAAUUUGCUUAAUUCUUGCCCUGAAGGUUUCACCGCUCAAUCGGUCAAUAGACCCAACAACCAAAAAGGGGGGUGGGAUUGCCGUUAUUUAUCAUAAGAAAUAUUCAGUAUCAUAUUCACCACAUGAGUUUUUUUCAUCGUUUGAAUACUUCCAAUUGAUCAAACAGCCUGAAAACCUGCUCAUUGUGACUGUGUAUCGGCCGCCACGUGGUUCUAAAUUAGACUUCUAUUCUGAGUUUGGAGAAAUGUUGUCCAUUAUCGCUCUAGAACAUGAUCAAAUCAUUAUAGUUGGGGAUUUUAAUUUCCAUAUCCACAAGGAUCCUUGUAAAUCUUUCCGGAAGCUUUUUUAAAGAUUACAAAUUUGUUCAGCAUGUGAAACAUCCCACCCACAAGCAAGGAAACACACUGGAUUUAGUUUUUACUAGGGGUAUUGAUGUAAGAAUUACAGCCAUUGACCCCUUCAAUUUAUCUGAUCAUCAUUGUAUCCGUUUUACCACCAGUUUAGAAGAUUACCUUGCUGGCAGUUUCAAAGACUUAAUAUUACGGUGUCUGCCGUUGAUCCUGGCGGGAGCAUAGAUGCAUAGAUAUAGAACGAAUAUACAUAUAUGAAUGUCUCGUCCGCUCUGCUGGCCAAUGGACUCGAACGUCCGCACUGGCGGCCAUCUUGCCACGGUCAGUUGCUCACCCAUAAUUGUGUUGGUAGUGUAGUAGCCUACAUGUACUUUUUAAAUAACCAUAUUUUGCUUAAUUUUCAACCAAUUUCCAAACGGUGCGGUUUGUUAUAAACAUCAGAGGUGUAGUUAUGACACUGCAUACUUAUGAAUAAUUAUGUUAGGUACUAAAAAAAUAGAAUAAUGUUCUAAAAUAGGUACACGAUUAUAACCACGUUAAUAACGUUUGUAAGAAACCAAACCGUUGGUAAAUCGGUUUAAAUUGAGCAAGUUAUGGUUAUUUAAAAAGUACAUGUACCACUACCAACACAAUGUUAUGGGUGAGCAGCAGACAGUGGCAAGUUGGCCGCCAGGGCAGACGUUCUAGACGCCGCCGUAAGACGCCGUAAGUAUUGCAGUUGUUUUACCGGGCUGUGGACGGUUCCCUCGAUUCAAGGCGCCUAGAAGUAGAUAUCUCCGUUCACUCCAAUACAAGAUGGGAACAGGAAUGUGUUCCGCAAAAAAUGUCUGGAUAUCAAUAAAAAAAGCUCAUAAUUAUCUUUAUGUACCAAUAAAAUAUACGUUUUCUCUUUUCAAAAUGCCACCUCAAGCGUUGUAUUAGGGGUCCGAGCAGCAAAGCUGCUUGGUCCCCUAUUGUUUCUGCAAUGUUUUUUUUUCCCCGUCAAAUUCUGUAAAAGCCUAUUCCGUAAGUCAAAAACCCUUGCAAUUUUCAUGAAUUUUCCUUGCAAAGAUCAUGAAUUAGGUUUAUUUCUCCC
ensembl:lncRNA